GAGUAGACAUUGUCAGCAGUGGAAUCUCUCUUUGCCACCCACACUCAUGCCCUCACUCUCACUCUCACUCCCACUCAUAUUUGCAACUCACAGCUCACACCAACCGUCUCCCCAGCAAACGGUCACAUUGGCCCUUGUCUGUGUUUAGAGUUUUGCACAACAACAGGCAAGGAUUUAACAGCAACAACAACAGGAAGAAGACCACAAAUGCAUAUAUAAUACACACACAUAUUUACAAUUGUUAAAUACUUUUACAUUUUCUACACGCAGUAAUUGUAGUUUGUCGUUGCUGUGCAUGUGUGUGUAUAUAUAUAUAUAUAUACACACACACAAACACAUACAUACACUCAUAUAUAUAUAUAUGUAUAUACACAAUACAGAUGUUUCCCGAGAUGCUGCCGACAUUAUUUGAAAUUCUCACACUUGUAUUGCUUCUACAAUUCCAUGGGUCAGACAGCUGUUUAGGCACCUGCAAACCCCUUAAAACGAAGCCCCCACCACACAUCUUCCGCCUGCUGCCACAGAUGUUCAAGGCUCGAAUCCAGCUUACAGACGUCAUGCGGAACCAAACGAGCCUGGUGGAGGAGUAUUAUGACAUGACUAAACUAAAGGCUGGAUCAAUCACUGAGUACAGACGUCACCGCAAGAGAACACAAAUAAUUGAUUACAAGCACCAGAAGAUUGUUUAUUACAACG